rnacentral:rRNA from 1 species
CAGCAGUAGCCGCGGGAAUACGUAGGGUGCAAGCGUUAAUCGGAAUUACUGGGCGUAAAGCGUGCGCAGGCGGUUAUAUAAGACAGAUGUGAAAUCCCCGGGCUCAACCUGGGAACUGCAUUUGUGACUGUAUAGCUAGAGUACGGCAGAGGGGGAUGGAAUUCCGCGUGUAGCAGUGAAAUGCGUAGAUAUGCGGAGGAACACCGAUGGCGAAGGCAAUCCCCUGGGCCUGUACUGACGCUCAUGCACGAAAGCGUGGGGAGCAAACAGGAUUAGAUACCCCCGUAGUCCCUGUCUCUUAUAC